UUAUGGCAAGAAUGAUGAGUCUAUUAGAUGUGCCAGGGGUGUAUUCCCAAUGAGCUAAAACUUCUGAGGCUUAUUGAUAUUCUGACUUGCCAACU
rfam:Solanum tuberosum cultivar DM 1-3 516 R44 scf00021_47, whole genome shotgun sequence.